rnacentral:rRNA from 1 species
GACGAACCGUGCGAACGUUGUUCGGAAUCACUGGGCGUAAAGGGUGCGUAGGCGGGUCUUUAAGUCAGGGGUGAAAUCCUGGAGCUCAACUCCAGAACUGCCUUUGAUACUGAAGAUCUUGAGUGCGGGAGAGGUGAGUGGAACUGCGAGUGUAGAGGUGAAAUUCGUAGAUAUUCGCAAGAACACCAGUGGCGAAGGCGGCUCACUGGCCCGAUACUGACGCUGAGGCACGAAAGCGUGGGGAGCAAACAGG